UCAGACGAUGCGUCAUGCAUAUCAAUAAGCGGAGGAAAAGAAACUAACAAGGAUUCCCCUAGUAACGGCGAGUGAAGCGGGAAGAGCUCAAAUUUGAAAUCUUAAAGGGUUUCCCUUUACGAAUUGUAGUUUAAAGAAGUGUUUUCUGUUGAGGUUUUGGUAAAAGUUCUUUGGAAUAGGACAUCAUAGAGGGUGAGAAUCCCGUAUUUGACCUUUACUUUCAACUUUGUGAUACACUUUCAAAGAGUCGGAUUGUUUGGGAAUGCAGUCCAAAAUGGGUGGUAAAUUUCAUCUAAAGCUAAAUAUUGGCGAGAGACCGAUAGCGAACAAGUACCGUGAGGGAAAGAUGAAAAGAACUUUGAAAAGAGAGUUAAACAGUACGUGAAAUUGUCAAAAGGGAAGCGUUUGACACCAGUGUUGUUUUUCAGAAAAUCAAUUAAAAAACUGUUUAUGCUAAGCUGUUUAGACUUUAUCAGCUAUCUGUUUAGUUUUGAGCUUUUCUUUAAUGCACUUUUCAGUUAACAAGUCAACAUCAAUUUCUUUUGCUGUAAAAAAGCUUGAGGAAGGUGGCUUGAGAUUCGUCUUAAGUGUUUAUAGCCUCUUGCCUAUGCAGUCGGAGAGAUUGAGGUCUGCAGCGUAGAUCCUUCGGGGCUAAAUGCAUUUGUGCUAAGUUAUAGCAUUUUAUAGACAACUUGUUGACUAUGAUUUGUCUUGUAGCUUACUCGCUUAUGUUAUUUUACCUACGCUUAGGAUGUUGAAUCUGUGCGAGACUAC
rnacentral:rRNA from 1 species